GCCUUCGUAGUGUAGCGGUCAAUACCCUCGACGUGUAUUCAAGAGACCAGCGGUUCGAGUCCCUGUGAGGACA
rnacentral:tRNA from 1 species